rnacentral:rRNA from 1 species
AUUGAACGCUGGCGGCAUGCUUUACACAUGCAAGUCGAGCGGCAGCGCGGGGGCAACCCUGGCGGCGAGCGGCGAACGGGCGAGUAAUGCAUCGGAACGUAUCCUCGAGUGGGGGAUAACCCAGCGAAAGUUGGGCUAAUACCGCAUGAGCUCUGAGGAGGAAAGCGGGGGACCUGCGAGGGCCUCGCGCUGGAGGAGCGGCCGAUGUCCGAUUAGCUAGUUGGUGGGGUAAAGGCUUACCAAGGCGACGAUCGGUAGCUGGUCUGAGAGGAUGAUCAGCCACACUGGGACUGAGACACGGCCCAGACUCCUACGGGAGGCAGCAGUGGGGAAUUUUGGACAAUGGGGGCAACCCUGAUCCAGCCAUGCCGCGUGAGUGAAGAAGGCCUUCGGGUUGUAAAGCUCUUUCGGACGGAACGAAAUGGGCGGGACUAAUACUCCUGUCUGAUGACGGUACCGUAAGAAGAAGCACCGGCUAACUACGUG